AACGAACGCUGGCGGCAUGCCUAACACAUGCAAGUCGAACGAGACCUUCGGGUCUAGUGGCGCACGGGUGCGUAACGCGUGGGAACCUGCCCUUAGGUUCGGAAUAACUCCCCGAAAGGGGUGCUAAUACCGGAUAAUGUCUUCGGACCAAAGAUUUAUCGCCUUUGGAUGGGCCCGCGUUGGAUUAGCUAGUUGGUAGGGUAAAAGCCUACCAAGGCGACGAUCCAUAGCUGGUCUGAGAGGAAGAUCAGCCACACUGGGACUGGGACACGGCCCAGACUCCUACGGGAGGCAGCAGUGGGGAAUAUUGGACAAUGGGCGAAAGCCUGAUCCAGCAAUGCCGCGUGAGUGAUGAAGGCCUUAGGGUUGUAAAGCUCUUUUACCCGGGAUGAUAAUGACAGUACCGGGAGAAUAAGCUCCGGCUAACUCCGUG
rnacentral:rRNA from 1 species